GUUUACCUCAGCAAGCCUGGGCAAUGGCGGGCGCCCCUCCCCCAGCCUCGCUGCCACCUUGCAGUUUGAUCUCAGACUGCUGUGCUAGCAAUCAGCGAGACUCCGUGGGCGUAGGACCCUCCGAGCCAGUUCUCACCUUGAUGAUUUUAUAAAUACCUGUGCAAUCAUUUAAGGAUGCUGUUAUAACUUGCUAUCACAGGAUUCAGGUCCAAGAACCCUCUCUUAGGAUCUGCACUGGGACCUACCCCUUUUUGGCAACAUGUUCUUGGCAACCACGAAGGGACUAUCCUGAGGAGAUCCCUGACCCAAAGGAAAUAGACUGCAGAACCAAUUGGCUGACUUUGGCGGGUCAAAGAAUAUGUGAGAUUCCCCACACAUUUAUGCCACAGGAGGAGAAAAGCCUGCCUAGGGGUGUUUUAACUUAUGCCCAGAAGUACCACCUGGAAGAGGCAACGAGACUUUAUUCAUAAGAAUCUAAGUGGAGCAUUCUCCCAGACAACCAGCGGCGGAGCAAGGAGGGGCUGGCCAAACAGUGACGUUGACUGGUGCAUGAGACGAACAGAGGCUCACAGAAGAGCCUCUGAAGAGCCCACAAAAAAUGUCCAUAAGGAGGUGCGACAGGCUUCAAGCCAAGGCUGUCUGACCUGAGACAAACCAAUGAUCACUCUCACACGCAUUAUCUAAAUAAAACUUAUCCACUU
rnacentral:lncRNA from 10 species